UCCUCGGUAGUACAAUGGUUAGUAUUCCCGCCUGUCACGCGGGCGACCGGGGUUCGAUUCCACGCCAGGGAG
rnacentral:tRNA from 1 species